rnacentral:misc_RNA from 1 species
UUUUUCCAGCAUGCUGGGCACAGGGAUAAGGUUGUCGACUUCCAUUGGAAUGUAUCUGAUCCUUGGACAAUUGUUAGUGUGUCAGAUGACUGUGAUACCACCGGUGGAGGGGGAACAUUGCAGAUAUGGCGCAUGAGUGAUUUGAUCUAUAGGCCAGAAGAUGAGGUUUUGACAGAGCUUGAGAAGUUCAAGUCACAUGUGAUUGCAUGUGCUUCAAAGCCUUGAGAGGGGUACAGAACUAUAAAAGUUGGCAGGAAUAAACUAGUCAUUGUAUGGACUUAACGUGUUUCGUUUUGCCCUGAGGUUGAUAGGAAUUGGUAGUGAUAAUGUAGGCAUGUUACUAGAUUUAUAUAUAGCUUUUCAGAGAUAAGGGCUUACAAGAUUGUUGAACCACAACCACUACAUGCUUAUGCUUGUUAUUUUGUGAUUCAACAAUCUUGUAAGCCCUUAUCUCUG